AAACCAGCACCUCAAGUGGUCAGGAUGAUUAUUGGGCCUAAAGCAUCCGUAGCCGGCUCUGUAAGUUUUCGGUUAAAUCUGUACGCUCAACGUACAGGCUGUCGGGAAUACUGCAGAGCUAGGGAGUGGGAGAGGUAGACGGUACUCGGGAGGAAGGGGUAAAAUCCUUUGAUCUUUCGAUGACCACCUGUGGCGAAGGCGGUCUACCAGAACAUGUCCGACGGUGAGGGAUGAAAGCUGGGGGAGCAAACCGGAUUAGAAACCCCGGUAGUCC
rnacentral:rRNA from 1 species